UGGGGAAUAUUGCACAAUGGGCGAAAGCCUGAUGCAGCAACGCCGCGUGAGCGAAGAAGGUCUUCGGAUCGUAAAGCUCUGUCCUUGGGGAAGAAGAAAAUGACGGUACCCUUGGAGGAAGCCCCGGCUAACUACGUGCCAGCAGCCGCGGUAAUACGUAGGGGGCAAGCGUUAUCCGGAAUUAUUGGGCGUAAAGAGUGCGUAGGUGGUUACCUAAGCAGGGGGUGAAAGGCAAUGGCUCAACCAUUGUUAGCCCCCUGAACUGGGCUACUUGAGUGCAGGAGAGGAAAGCGGAAUUCCUAGUGUAGCGGUGAAAUGCGUAGAUAUUAGGAGGAACACCAGUGGCGAAGGCGGCUUUCUGGACUGUUACUGACACUGAGGCACGAAAGCGUGGGGAGCAAACA
rnacentral:rRNA from 1 species